UACGUAGGGGCAAGCGUUGUCCGGAUUUAUUGGGCGUAAAGAGCGUGUAGGCGGUCCGGUAAGUCCGCUGUGAAAGUCGGGGGCUCAACCCUCGAAUGCCGGUGGAUACUGUCGGGCUAGAGUGCGGAAGAGGCGAGUGGAAUUCCUGGUGUAGCGGUGAAAUGACGCAGAUAUCAGGAGGAACACCGAUGGCGAAGGCAGGUCUCUGGCGAUUAACUGCGCUGAGGAGCGAAAGCAUGGGGAGCGAACAGG
rnacentral:rRNA from 1 species